rnacentral:rRNA from 1 species
UUAGAGUUUGAUCCUGGCUCAGGAUGAACGCUAGCGGCAGGCUUAACACAUGCAAGUCGAGGGGCAGCAUGCGUGUUAGCAAUAACAUGUGAUGGCGACCGGCGCAAGGGUGCGUAACGCGUGAGCAACUUGCCCUUAUCAGGGGGAUAACCGUUGGAAACGACGACUAAUACCCCAUGGUGAUAUAUUCAGGCAUCUUUAUAUAUCUAAAGAAUUUCGGAUAAGGAUAGGCUCGCGUGACAUUAGCUAGAUGGUGGGGUAACGGCCCACCAUGGCGACGAUGUCUAGGGGUUCUGAGAGGAAGGUCCCCCACACUGGAACUGAGACACGGUCCAGACUCCUACGGGAGGCAGCAGUGAGGAAUAUUGGUCAAUGGGCGAGAGCCUGAACCAGCCAUGUCGCGUGAAGGACGACUGUCUUAUGGAUUGUAAACUUCUUUUAUAUGGGAAUAAAGUUAGAAAGGUGUUUCUAUUUGCAUGUCCCAUAUGAAUAAGCUUGGGCUAAUUCCGUGCCAGCAGCCGCGGUAAUACGGAGGAUGCGAGCGUUAUCCGGAUUUAUUGGGUUUAAAGGGUGCGUAGGCGGGAUAUUAAGUCAGUGGUGAAAGUUUGCGUCUCCAUGGUAAAAUUGCCAUUGAAACUCAUAUUCUUGAGUGCGUUAAAGGUAGGCGGAAUGUGUAGUGUAGCGGUGAAAUGCUUAGAUAUUUCCCCAGAACCCGGUUGGGGAGGCAUGCUUAGUUUGCGGUAUUGACGGUGAUGCAGGAAGGCGUGGGUAUCAACCAGGAUUAGAUACCCUGGUAUUCCACGCAGUAAACGAUGAAUACUACCUGUUGGGUUGCACAGUCAGUGGUCAAGCGAAAGUGUUAAGUAUUCCACCUGGGGAGUACGCCGGCAACGGUGGAACUCAAAGGAAUUGACGGGGGCCCGCACAAGCGGAGGGACAUGUGGUUUAAUUUGAUGAUACGCGAGGAACCUUACCCGGGGUUGAACUGCAGGAGAAAGAAACAGAGAUGUUGAGGCCCUUCGGGGCUCCUGUGGAGGUGCUGCAUGGUGGUGGUCAGCUCGUGCCGUGAGGGGUGGGCUUAAGUGCCAUAAGGAGGGCAACCCUUGUCCUCAGUUGCCAUCACUUAGGGUGGGCACUCUGUGGAUACUGCCACCGCAAGGUGUGAGGAAGGGGGGGAUGACGUCAAAUCAGCACGGCCCUUACGUCCGGGGCGACACACGUGUUACAAUGGCAGGUACAGCGGGAAGCCACCUGGUGACAGGGAGCAGAACCCGAAAGCCCGUCUCAGUUCGGAUUGGAGUCUGCAACUCGACUCCAUGAAGCUGGAUUCGCUAGUAAUCGCGCAUCAGCCAUGGCGCGGUGAAUACGUUCCCGGGCCUUGCACUCACCGCCCGUCA